ACAUGUCCUGCUUGGUAGUCUGUAAAUAUAAUAAAAUGCUUUCUAUCCCAAUGCUUUAUAUUUGCUAUUAUCUCUGGUUAGACUAUACUUCCUUCAGUUUUUCAUAUACUUAAUUUCUAUUCAUGCAGGCACCAUCUCCAGUGUCAAUUCUCAAAAAAUUCCUUCAGCAUUCAAAAACAAUAAUUAGUUACCCUGAAACACAUGUCACUGUAUUUUCACACAGUAUCUGUAACUCACUGAAAUUAUCUUAUUUAUGUAUCUAUUGCAUUUAUAUUUUUGUAUCCUCAAUAAUAUAUAAACUAAAAAAAAAAGCUCAGACCAUGGCACAUCACAUAUAUAUUUUCUAAUAAAUUGCUUGGCAUAGUAAGUGCUCAUGUAAGUGCUAGUAUUGCAUAGUUAACAGACUGAAUGAAGACCUCUGAGUAAAAUUGUCUAUUAGGUUAUAUCUAGUAUUUUUCCCCACAAAGGAAAAUAUUUGUGGAAUUAUUUCAUUCUUUAUAUUUUAAAGAUAGCUUUGUUUAUACAACUUACAUUAUCCUCCUUAGUUUAAUGUAAUAUGUUCAAAUCCUCCCCUGAUGUUAUCACUACACUAUAAUCAAUAAGUACGUAUUCCAGGAAACACACUUCAG
rnacentral:lncRNA from 1 species